rnacentral:rRNA from 1 species
UUAAUUUAUAAUUUUUAUUUUAUAUUUAUUUAUUUAAUUAAUUAUCGAAAGAGAACUUUUAUAUAUAUUCAAUCAGAAUUGUGAAAUUUAUAUUUUAUUUAAAUAUUUUUUUUAUUACCUUUUGUAUAAGUGUUUUUAUAAAUUAAUUUAUAUAAAUUAUUCUCGAAUUAUUAAGAUUUAAGUUAUAAAAAUUAGUUUUGUUAAAUAAUUUUAAUAAUUUUAAUUUAGUUCUUAUAAGGAUUUCAUUUAAUAUAUAUCUAGUUAAAAAAUAAUUAAAUUUAUUUUAAAUUAAUUUUUUUUAAAUCAUAUUAUUUAUUUUGUGUUUUUAAAAUUAUUAUUUAAUUUUUGAAAGGAUUAUCUUUCAUAAUUUUCUUUUUAGUAAAUUUUAUUGUUUAAUUUAUUUUUAUUAGGCUUAAAAACAGCUUUAUAUAAAAUUUAAGUUAUAUUUUAUAAUUAUUUAAUUUUAAUUUUUUAAGUUUUCUAUUUAAUUAUUUAUUUAAUUCUUUAAAUUAAUUUAAUAAUUAAUUAAAAAAUUAGUAUAAAUAUUUUUAUUUUAUUUAAUUUAUUGUUUAAAAAAUAGUAUUAUAAUUCGGCAAUAAAAAAUUCAAAUGUUUAACAAAAACAUUUCUUUUAGAUUAUUUUUAAAGUAAAGUCUGCCCACUGUAAUUUAUGAAGGGCCGCGGUAUUUUGACCGUGCAAAGGUAGCAUAAUCAUUAGUCUUUUAAUUGGGGAAUGGUAUGAAUGGCUUAAUGAUUUUUUUCUUUUUAUACUAUUAAAUUAAAAUUUUGAUUUUAAGUGAAAAUACUUAAAUAUUUUAGUUAGACGAUAAGACCCUAUAGAAUUUUAUUUUAUUUUUAUAUUAUUAUAUUCUUAAAGUUUAAAUGGGGCAUUUUAUGAAUAUAUUAAAUUUCUUUAUUAAAAAAAUUGAAAAUAUCUUUGUUUAAAUAUUUUAAAAAAAUUACCUUAGGGAUAACAGCGUAAUUCUUUUUGAGAGUUCAUAUCGACAAAUUAGAUUGCGACCUCGAUGUUGAAUUAAAAUACCUAUAUGGAGCAGCAUUUAUAUAAGGUAGUCUGUUCGACUAUAAAAUUUUUACAUGAUUUGAGUUCAGACCGGUGCGAGCCAGGUUAGUUUCUAUCUUUUAAUUAUUUUUUACAUAAUUUAGUACGAAAGGAUUAAUUAUUUUUAUUGUUUUUAUUUAU